CGACCGCUGGCGGCGUGCUUCACACAUGCAAGUCGGCCGGAAAGGCCCUGCUUUUGUGGGGUGCUCGAGUGGCGAACGGGUGAGUAACACGUGAGUAACCUGCCCUUGACUUUGGGAUAACUUCAGGAAACUGGGGCUAAUACCGGAUAGGAGCUCCUGCUGCAUGGUGGGGGUUGGAAAGUUUCGGCGGUUGGGGAUGGACUCGCGGCUUAUCAGCUUGUUGGUGGGGUAGUGGCUUACCAAGGCUUUGACGGGUAGCCGGCCUGAGAGGGUGACCGGCCACAUUGGGACUGAGAUACGGCCCAGACUCCUACGGGAGGCAGCAGUGGGGAAUAUUGCACAAUGGGCGGAAGCCUGAUGCAGCAACGCCGCGUGCGGGAUGACGGCCUUCGGGUUGUAAACCGCUUUCGCCUGUGACGAAGCGUGAGUGACGGUAAUGGGUAAAGAAGCACCGGCUAACUACGUG
rnacentral:rRNA from 1 species